UGGGGAAUAUUGCACAAUGGGGGAAACCCUGAUGCAGCGACGCCGCGUGAACGAAGAAGGUAUUCGUAUCGUAAAGUUCUGUCCUAUGGGAAGAUAAUGACAGUACCAUAGAAGAAAGCUCCGGCUAAAUACGUGCCAGCAGCCGCGGUAAUACGUAUGGAGCGAGCGUUGUCCGGAAUUAUUGGGCGUAAAGGGUACGCAGGCGGUUUAAUAAGUCGAAUGUUAAAGAUCGGGGCUCAACCCCGUAAAGCAUUGGAAACUGAUAAACUUGAGUGCAGAAGGGGAGAGUGGAAUUCCAUGUGUAGCGGUGAAAUGCGUAGAUAUAUGGAGGAACACCGGUGGCGAAAGCGGCUCUCUGGUCUGUAACUGACGCUGAGGCUCGAAAGCGUGGGGAGCGAACAGG
rnacentral:rRNA from 1 species